rnacentral:rRNA from 1 species
GACGGGGGGGCAAGUGUUCUUCGGAAUGACUGGACGUAAAGGGCACAUAGGCGGUGAAUCAAGUUGAAAGUGAAAGUUUCCAAAAACUAACGGAAUGCUCUCGAAACCAAUUCAAUUGGGUGAGAUAGAGGAGAGUGGAAUUUCGUGUGUAGGGGUGAAAUCCGUAGAUCUACGAAGGAACGCCAAAAGCGAAGGCAGCUCUCUGGGUCCCUACCGACGCUGGGGUGCGAAAGCAUGGGGAGCGAACAGG